AAGAAAGUAAGAAAGGGCGUAUGGCGGAUGCCUAGGCUCACGGAGGCGAUGAAGGACGUGAUAAGCUGCGAUAAGCUUCGGGUAGGUGCAAAUAACCCUUGAUCCGAAGAUUUCCGAAUGGGACAACCUAGCCGUCUGAAGGACGGUUACUAGCACUCAUGUGUUAGAGCUAACGCAGGGAACUGAAACAUCUUAGUACCUGCAGGAAGAGAAAAUAAAUUAAUGAUUCCCCCAGUAGUGGCGAGCGAACGGGGAACAGCCCAAACCAGUGGCGUCGCAAGGCGUGGCUGGGGUUGUAGGACCGCGACAU
rnacentral:rRNA from 1 species